CCUCUUUCUUUUCCCUUUUCAAAUUUCAUUCAUCUCUGCCUCCUGAGCGUUAGCAAAUGCUUGCUCGCACUCUGAAAGUUGCACUUUCACUUUCACUUUAUCAGUCAGAAGAACAUCUUUCCCAAUCUGGAAUAUUCAGACCUCCUCCUGUCAGAAACCAAGGACUUUCUUCAGCUCUGGUGUCCACAAAUGAUUCCUGGAUUUUUACUAACGUGACUAGAAAGGAAACCUGAUGGUGGGAUAAUCCAUGGCUAUGAAACAGCAGUAGCUGAUAUGACCAGAAAACAAAGCUGGACACAUGGCUCAGGAAUAAGAGCACAUAUUGUUCUUGCAGAAGACCUGAGUACAGUAAGAAGCACCUAGUUUGGAUGGCUCAUGACAACUUGUAUCUCCAGUCCCAGGGUAUCUGAUAAUAUUAUAAUAAUUCUGAAUAUAUAUCUAUUAUUUAACCAGGAAUUUCCAUGUUACAAAAGAAGAAAAUAGAUGUUUACUGUAUUUUUAAUUUUUUUAUUGUGUUAUUGUAAAUAUGGGCUUUUUGAGGUAUUUAUGAGCCAGGACAUGUAUAUGGAAGGCAGAGAAGAACAAUUCUAAUUAAAUAUUGUAUUGUUUA